rnacentral:rRNA from 1 species
GACAGAGGGUGCAAACGUUGCUCGGAAUUACUGGGCGUAAAGCGCGUGUAGGCGGAUCGGUGUGUCGGGUGUGAAAUCCCUGGGCUCAACCCAGGAACUGCAUUCGAAACUACCGGUCUAGAGUGGUGGAGAGGGAAGUGGAAUUCCUGGUGUAGAGGUGAAAUUCGUAGAUAUCUGGAGGAACACCGGUGGCGAAGGCGGCAUCCUGGACCAAUACUGACGCUGAGGAGCGAAAGCCAGGGGAGCAAACGGG